UACGAGAGGCCCAAACGUUAUUCGGAAUUACUGGGCUUAAAGAGUUCGUAGGCGGCAUGAAAAGUAGGGUGUGAAAGCCCUCGGCUCAACCGAGGAAUUGCGCUCUAAACUGUCGUGCUCGAGGAACCUAGAGGUGAGCAGAACAGAUGGUGGAGCGGUGAAAUGCGUUGAUAUCAGGAGGAACACCAAUGGCGAAGGCAGCUCGCUGGGACGGUACUGACGCUGAGACGCGAAAGCGUGGGGAGCGAACAGG
rnacentral:rRNA from 1 species